UACGUAGGGUGCAAGCGUUGUCCGGAAUUAUUGGGCGUAAAGAGCUCGUAGGCGGUUUGUCGCGUCUGCUGUGAAAUCCCGAGGCUCAACCUCGGGUCUGCAGUGGGUACGGGCAGACUAGAGUGUGGUAGGGGAGAUUGGAAUUCCUGGUGUAGCGGUGGAAUGCGCAGAUAUCAGGAGGAACACCGAUGGCGAAGGCAGAUCUCUGGGCCAUUACUGACGCUGAGGAGCGAAAGCAUGGGGAGC
rnacentral:rRNA from 1 species